CAAUUAGAGAACUCGGAGGUGGA
rnacentral:siRNA from 1 species